GACAGAGAUGGAGAGAGACAGGGAGAGAGACAGGGAGGGAGAGAGCGAGCGCGCAAGUGGGACAUAACAGCACAUUCAUAUCAAACAAAGUAUCUUCAUUGUUCCUCUGUUGAGCAACAGAGAGAGAGAGACAGCGAGACGGAGAGAGAGAGAGAGAGAGAGAGAGAGAGAGAGAGAGAGAGAGAGAGAGAGAGAGAGAGAGAGAGAGAGGGGGGAGACAGCGAGAAGGGGAGACAGCGAGAGAGAGCGACAGCGAAAGGGGGAGACAGCGAGAGGGGGAGACGGCGAGACGGGAAGACGGCGAGACGGGGAGACGGCGAGAGGGGGAGACGGCGAGAGGGGGAGACGGCGAGAGGGGGAGACGGGGAGACGGCGAGACGGCGAGACGGGGAGACGGCGAGACGGGGAGACGGCGAGACGGGGAGACGGCGAGACGGGGAGACGGGGAGACGGCGAGACGGGGAGACGGCGAGACGGGGAGACGGGGAGACGGCGAGACGGGGAGACGGCGAGACGGGGAGACGGCGAGACGGGGAGACGGGGAGACGGCGAGACGGCGAGACGGCGAGACGGCGAGACGGGGAGACAGCGAGACAGCGAGACGGGGAGACAGCGAGAGGGGGAGACAGCGAGAGGGGGAGACAGCGAGAAGGGGAGACAGCGAGAAGGGGAGACAGCGAGAGGGGGAGACAGCGAGAGGGGGAGACAGCGAGAGGGGGAGACAGCGAGAGGGGGAGACAGCGAGAGGGGGAGACAGCGAGACAGCGAGAGGGGGAGACAGCGAGACAGCGAGAGGGGGAGACAGCGAGACGGGGAGAGAGCGAGACGGGGAGAGAGCGAGAGGGGGAGACAGCGAGAGGGGGAGACAGCGAGAGGGGGAGACAGCGAGAGGGGGAGACAGCGAGAGGGGGAGACAGCGAGAGGGGGAGACAGCGAGAGGGGGAGACAGCGAGAGGGGGAGACAGCGAGAGGGAGAGACAGCGAGAGGGAGAGACAGCGAGAGGGAGAGACAGCGAGAGGGGGAGACAGCGAGAGGGGGAGACAGCGAGAGGGGGAGACAGCGAGAGGGGGAGACAGCGAGAGGGGGAGACAGCGAGAGGGGGAGACAGCGAGAGGGGGAGACAGCGAGAGGGGGAGACAGCGAGAAGGGGAGACAGCGAGAAGGGGAGACAGCGAGAGGGGGAGACAGCGAGAGGGGGAGACAGCGAGAGGGGGAGACAGCGAGAAGGGGAGACAGCGAGACGGGGAGACAGCGAGACAGCGAGAGGGAGAGACAGCGAGAGGGGGGAGACAGCGAGAAGGGGAGACAGCGAGAAGGGGAGACAGCGAGAAGGGGAGACAGCGAGAGAGAGCGACAGCGAGACGGGGAGAGCUGCAGUGGGACCUAACAGCACAUUCAUAUCAAACAAAGUACCUUCAUUGUUCCUCUGUUGCUACUUCAUAAACAUCAAAAGGACAGCAAGCGGAAACGCUUUGAAACAGACCAACUGGUGCUCAGAGCCUCCGUCUGUGUGUGUGUGUGUGUGUGUGUGUGUGUGUGUGUGUAUUUAUGUAAUCUGGAUAGCUAGUUGGUACUAA
rnacentral:lncRNA from 8 species